UAGGCUGGAGAGUUGGAGCUGCGCUGCUGCGCCCCAAAGUCGUGCAAAUGGCUUCUACUGCACUCUGAUAUAUGAGGUGCAAAAUGCGAGCCAGAAGGAAAAAAGUGUGAGCUCCCCCUUCCUAUCAUUUGCCCCUAAUUUAGUUUCUAUUCUGCAGCAAUGCUUUGGAUAGUGAGGAGAUUCAUAUACUGAUUUCAUGUUUCUAUGUCCUUGCAUCAAAAUUAGAUAUUGCAUUUUCCUUUUGUAAAUAUUUGUUGGUUUGGUUUCCCUAAAUUGAUUCUAUUUUGGCCACAUCUGCUUCUUGAGCUCACUGGCUGGGGACCGAGGGUGGCACGAGCCGGUGGCAACUCGGGGUCAAUCGUGGGCAUCACCGAGAUUCGUCCAGGUAUUCAUGAGGAGGAGAAACAGGAGAGGGGAGUGGUGCUGGAAUCUGGAGAUGGAGGCUGGAGGAGGGAGCUCGAGAAGCGCCGCAGGGACGGAGGUGGAGGAUCAGGUAGCGGCUGUACUGGCCUAGCGAACCAGAGGCCGUCGAUGCUGACCUGAUUCACCGCUGAACCUGUCUACAGUUUCUCCUCCCCAGGUGUGCGGAGGCCUGUGGUAAUUGGAGGACGACCCAUAUACGGAGAUGGAUGGGUGUAACGCAGAAAAGAUGGUGUGUGAGGAAGAAGAGGAGACUUAACUGCUGCUUCUCAUGUUGAUGUUCAGGCCUAACGUCAGAAAACUUGGCUACAGAUCCACUUAUGAUGAGGGUAGCAAUUCGGGUUUGCUUAUUUUUUAUCUUUUAGAGAAAAUUUACCAUUACUAUCUUAAAUCUCUGUGGGUUAGACUUUCUGAUUAUCCAACAUCCCAUGAUUAUGCUAUUAGUCAAAUACUAAAUUUUUUGCUGGUUUCCCAAUAUAAAUUUGGUUUAGGAAGGAACAUCAUGGAGGCCGCUUGCCGCAUAAGAGGCUGGAGCGGCAAGUUUGGUGUGGCUGCUCCUCUAUGCAAAGGCUGAGGUCCAACACUGACCGCAGGCAAGCCCCAUUGUAUUCACCGCUUCUCUACGUGUUGCUGGAGGAUGGCUCACAGCAUGCGAAGCAUUUAGCUUAGGUGAGAUCUUCUCUUUUCCACUUGGGUUCUUUUUCCUUAUGUCUAUAUUUAUGAAUUUCUAUUGCUGUUUUGCACAUUCCUUACUGGGAAUAAACAGAGGGGAAGCUUGAAGGCAUUUUAUCUAGGAAAAUGUGCAUGCUCCAAUGUAUGAUCAGAGUUUUUAGUUAAUUAUGUUUGCUUCAUCUGAUCCUAUGUGAGAGUUCCUCUCUCUGUUUUUAGUUGAUCUUCUUGCAUCCUUUUUUUAGAGUAUACUACGUAGCUUCCAGUACAGCUUCUUGCAAGGCUUCCACACUGUAAUGUAUGCAAACUAUCAAUCUAUAACUUAAAAAUGGAAAAGCUUUUCAGAAAUAUAGCAUGCAACAUUCACGAAAGUCUUCAUGUAUUUUAUCAAAUGUUGCUUUCUUACCCGGUGGUCUGUGGUCUCUCUUCUUCAGUUUGAAUGUAUUGAAAAGAUCUACUAAUAUGGUUUUCAUAUAUAUAAUUUAUAAUGUUUUUCCAGUCUCGUUUCAUAAGCCAACAUGGUAAGAUCUCUAGCGAAUUUACUCUCAGUGUCUAUUGUAAUAUUUUAAUUCAGUA